UACAGAGGGUGCAAACGUUGCUCGGAAUUAUUGGGCGUAAAGCGCGUGUAGGCGGCCUGUUAAGUUGGUUGUGAAAACCCAUGGCUCAACCAUGGAAGUGCGUCCAAAACUGGCAGGCUAGAGUUCUGACGAGGAUGGCGGAAUUCCCAGUGUAGAGGUGAAAUUCGUAGAUAUUGGGAGGAACACCGGUGGCGAAGGCGGCCAUCUGGGAAGAUACUGACGCUGAGACGCGAAAGCGUGGGGAGCAAAC
rnacentral:rRNA from 1 species